rnacentral:rRNA from 1 species
CUGCCAAGGGCAUGGCUGGGUAGCUAUGUACGGAAUGGAUAAGCGCUGAAAGCAUCUAAGCGCGAAGCCAACUUCAAGAUAAGAUUUCCCACCGUAAGGGUAAGAUCCCAGGAAGACUACCUGGUUGAUAGGUCGGAGGUGUAAGUGCAGCAAUGUAUGUAGCUUACCGAUACUAAUAGAUCGAGGACUUGACCAAG